UGAGCCCGCUCGACCAACCCACAGAGGCCGCUCAUCAAGAAUACUCAUGGCCUGCCAUUCGGUUCGAUGUCCCCCCUCAAAGAGCCUAUCAUUUCCACACACAGUUCAGAACUGACCAGAAGCCGAACAACUUCCUGAAAGGCGUCAAAGGGUCGCCUGAUGGGACUUGCCUUCUCAGUAGUUCGGAGGACAAUACCCUUCGCGUGUUCGCAUUACCAGACUAAGGGGGUGACGACGGCACAAAUGCAAGUUCGUCUGAUGUUGAUCAAGAUUCUUUUGCAGCAAAUCUAGUUGUGACAGAAAGGGAAUCAGUUUAUGAUUUCUGUUGGUACCCGUACAUGUCUGCUGCAGGUUGUCCCAUUAAAUUUUACUCUUUUUUAACAUAUCACGGUUAUAUUUUCAUCUAUAGUUAUUUCUCUUCUGGUAAUUAGCCACCGCUAGAAUUGAGUAUGGAAGUUUUUCAUAUUUCAGACCCGGUUAGCUGUGUAUUCGCAUCAACUACGCGUGAUCAUCCAAUUCAUGUCUGGGAUGCUACUACUGGACAGGAUCUUUGCUGGACAUAACAAAUCCAUAAGAGUGCUUGACGUACAUCGCCCUGGUAGAGAUUUUGAGAUGCACUCAGCACUUCAAGGAAAUAAAGAAGGUCAAACAGGUGCAUUGUUGUGUUUGUCCUGGUUUAGCUGUUACUCGAGAUUUGUUUAGCAAGUUAAAUAAAAGAGGAUUUCAAAAACUACAGUUGAGAAGAAUUGAGUAUCUCAUUCAAAUAAUUACAGUUGAUUGUAAGGCUGACUUGUUCUAUCUAUUUUUCCACGGGUCUUAUAUACUAUGCAUGUAAAGGGAACUAGCCGAUCUCUCCUUAUUGCCCUGGAUUUCCAUGUUUAUUGUAUAAUUAUACAAGAUAAUAUUGAGAUCACAAGAUAAAAAGGAAGAAUUGAGUAUCUCAUUGUCUAUUGCUUUUGUGCAGGUAUUAUAUCUGCCGUUGCUUUCUCUCCAGCCCAUACCGGAAUGCUGGCAACUGGUUCCUACAGCCAGACUACUGCAAUCUACAGAGAAGAUAACAUGGAACUCUUAUACGUCUUGCAUGGUCAACAAGGUGGGGAUACCCAUGUGUCAUUUUCAAAAGAUGGAAACUACUUGUAUACUGGAGGACAAAAGGUAGAAUGCUCUAAAGCUUCUCUUUUCUUUUUCUUGGAAAUUUUUAUAAUGACUCUCUCUCUCUCUCUCUCUCUCUCUCUCUCUCUCUCUCUACGAUGGAACAAUUACCUUGUGAUGACGAGUGAUGAAUUUGUUGUUGCCUCUAAAUUAUGCAAAUUUGUUCCAUCUGCUACUGAUAGUAAUCAUUACUGAAAGAUAUCGUUUUUCAUGUCUUAGACUUGGUUGACUGUUCUUUGGCUUUUAGACUGGGUAAUAUGAUUUAAGGUCUCCUCUUCGGCUUAUGCAAAGUCUAUCAGAUUGGAUAUACCCAUGUAUAAAGCCAGAUAUAAAAUACAACCACAAAGGACAAGAUAAACAAGGAAAGCUUUUCUCUUAGGA